rnacentral:lncRNA from 1 species
AGCCGCAGGCUCCACUCCUGGUGGCGCCCUUCCGUCAAUUCCUUUAAGUUUCAGCUUUGCAACCAUACUUCCCAACCAUACAACCAUACUUCCCAAAUACUUUGGUUUCCCGGAAGCUGCCCGCCGAGUCAUUUGAGUAACUCAGGCGGAUCACUGGUUGGCAUCGUUUAUGGUCAGAACUAGAGCGGUAUCUGAUCGCCUUCGAAACUCUAUG